rnacentral:rRNA from 1 species
AUGACGAAGCUCCCCGUCCGUGCCGGAGGCUCACCGCUCCUCUGCGUGAGCAGAGACGGCAAGAUUUCUAUCGCUUGCGUGUAUCUCGUGCACGUGACUGUUUGGACGCAGCAAGGCGGAGAAGGUGGCGACGACACCCCUGCGGCUUGGCUUCGCACUGUGAUCAGAAUUCCAACUGCGGUGCCGUACCCGAAGUAUCACCCGCUAAGUCAGCCCUUAGAGAAGUGGUUUAACUUCAACAUGGGAUCCCUGCUCGUGCUGUACAGGAGCAGCGCCAUCUUCAUCCUCGACCUCGAGAAGAAGGUAAUGGAAAAGGUCAUGGAUUGCUUGGGGCCACUAUCCAAUGAUAAACUGAGUCGGACGCCUGUGGCGUACGAGAUGGACUUGGUGGAAUUCUUUGUGCUCCAGCUUGGCGGACUACGUAGGAGUCUUUUAGAAUAA